rnacentral:rRNA from 1 species
UACGUAGGGUGCAAGCGUUGUCCGGAAUUAUUGGGCGUAAAGAGCUCGUAGGCGGUCUGUCGCGUCUGCUGUGAAAACCUGGGGCUUAACCCCGGGCCUGCAGUGGGUACGGGCAGACUAGAGUGCGGUAGGGGAGACUGGAAUUCCUGGUGUAGCGGUGAAAUGCGCAGAUAUCGUAAGGAAGGCCGGUGGCGAAAGCGAGCCUCUGGACAGUUACUGACGCUGAUGCACGAAGGCCAGGGGAGCAAACGGG